AGCGGGGGUGUAUUAGGUUUAACCUCAAUGACAACUAAUUAAUAACCAACUAAAUAAAAUUUUUCAAGUUAGAGAGAGACUAUGUUUUCUCAUUUCAGAAUAUUUUCAAAGGAAAAACUAUAGUAAUAAAUGCCCGUGAAAACAAUAUCAAAUGCAUAUCAGGAAUGUAAAUGAUCCAAAUUUCCAACGACAGCCUGGAGAUUUGAACUCCAAAAUGUCCGAAUAAAGUUGAUUAAAAGACAGUCGCACAAUAUGGCACCCACCUUGUGAAGUACGACAUUUCCAACCACUGUCAGAAACGUGGAAGUUUAAAGGAAAGCUCUAUCAAGUCACUUUGCAAAAUUUCACCAGAUGACCUCUAGCGCUUUGAAAAUAGCUGAGUCAGAACACAGCUGGUGGAAAAGAAAAUGGCAUGAACCCUCUAAAUCAGCAUGGUAGAGAAAAUGCCAUGCUGUCCUGGAGCUAGCAAGCCAUGUGAAAAAUGGAAAAAGCCGGGCAGCAUACACGCUUGCAUCAUGGUUCCUUCCCAUCGCCCAUCAAGAAAAGUUAACUGUCACUGCAGUGGGAGCGUGGAUUAAUGUUGAACUUACUGCAGCCUGACACCCCCAU
ensembl:lncRNA